UACGAACCGUGCGAACGUUGUUCGGAAUCACUGGGCUUAAAGGGCGCGUAGGCGGGCGAGCAAGUUCGGGGUGAAAUCUUUCGGCUCAACCGGAAAAGGGCCUCGGAGACUGCUCGUCUGGAGGGAGGUAGGGGCAGGUGGAACUGCUGGUGGAGCGGUGAAAUGCGUUGAUAUCAGCAGGAACGCCGGUGGCGAAAGCGACCUGCUGGACCUCUUCUGACGCUGAGGCGCGAAAGCGUGGGUAGCAAACAGG
rnacentral:rRNA from 1 species